rnacentral:rRNA from 1 species
CCUACGGGAGGCAGCAGUAGGGAAUAUUGCUCAAUGGGGGAAACCCUGAAGCAGCAACGCCGCGUGGAGGAUGAAGGUUUUCGGAUUGUAAACUCCUUUUGUUAGAGAAGAUAAUGACGGUAUCUAACGAAUAAGCACCGGCUAACUCCGUGCCAGCAGCCGCGGUAAUACGGAGGGUGCAAGCGUUACGCGGAAUCACUGGGCGGAAAGAGCGCGUAGGCGGGAUAGCAAGUCAGAUGUGAAAUCCUAUGGCUUAACCAUAGAACUGCAUUUGAAACUGUUAUUCUAGAGUAUGGGAGAGGUAGGUGGAAUUCUUGGUGGAGGGGUAAAAUCCGUAGAGAUCAAGAGGAAUACUCAUUGCGAAGGCGACCUGCUAGAACAUAACUGACGCUGAUGCGCGAAAGCGUGGGGAGCAAACAGGAUUAGAUACCCUAGUAGUC